GAGCGGAUGAGAAGAGCUUGCUCUUCGAUUCAGCGGCGGACGGGUGAGUAAUGCCUAGGAAUCUGCCUGGUAGUGGGGGACAACGUUUCGAAAGGAACGCUAAUACCGCAUACGUCCUACGGGAGAAAGCAGGGGACCUUCGGGCCUUGCGCUAUCAGAUGAGCCUAGGUCGGAUUAGCUAGUUGGUGAGGUAAUGGCUCACCAAGGCGACGAUCCGUAACUGGUCUGAGAGGAUGAUCAGUCACACUGGAACUGAGACACGGUCCAGACUCCUACGGGAGGCAGCAGUGGGGAAUAUUGGACAAUGGGCGAAAGCCUGAUCCAGCCAUGCCGCGUGUGUGAAGAAGGUCUUCGGAUUGUAAAGCACUUUAAGUUGGGAGGAAGGGCAUUAACCUAAUACGUUAGUGUUUUGACGUUACCGACAGAAUAAGCACCGGCUAACUCUGUGCCAGCAGCCGCGGUAAUACAGAGGGUGCAAGCGUUAAUCGGAAUUACUGGGCGUAAAGCGCGCGUAGGUGGUUUGUUAAGUUGGAUGUGAAAGCCCCGGGCUCAACCUGGGAACUGCAUCCAAAACUGGCAAGCUAGAGUACGGUAGAGGGUGGUGGAAUUUCCUGUGUAGCGGUGAAAUGCGUAGAUAUAGGAAGGAACACCAGUGGCGAAGGCGACUUUCUGGUCUGUAACUGACACUGAGGCGCGAAAGCGUGGGGAGCAAA
rnacentral:rRNA from 1 species